CGAACAUAGAGAGGUUCAAAGACACAGUAUAUAAAGCUGAAAGUGAAUCCAAGAUAUUCAUAUCAAGUGUAUAGAAGAAAUGUGAAAUAGCCAAAUAAUUGCAUGCAAUAAAAAGUUAUCUAUCAUUUCCAUAAAAGAUGUCCUGGUUCUGACACUUCCUGAAUCCCAUCUUCAAGUACCGCUAUAUCUGGAUUUUUAUCUGCUCUCCAGUAGUUUCAUUCUCUUCUGUGUUCACCUCUCUCCGUUUCGGAAAUACCACUUCAUGACUGCUUUGAUCUCUCUCUCUCUGACUGCUCUCAUCUUGCCUCUCAUCCGUGUAUGAAAUCGAAGCCUCAAUACUUGAUUGCUGGCUGCUUGGCAAUUUGAUUCAAUGGUUAGUCUUGUAUCUAUUUCAGUUUCAAUUUCUUUGAAUUUGAUGAAUGUUUGAGAUGAUAUUGUUCUGGGUUUGACGGAUAUAGUUCGUUUAGAUCAAUUAUGCUUGGGUACUGAAUCAAUGUGGGUUUAGAUUGAUUUGGGAAAAUGGAACCAAAUCGAGCAGUUUUCUUCCAGUAGCUUCCAUUUCUUCUUCCUCAUCCUCCCUUUGUUCACUCAAUUCAAACAUGGCCGACUCUCCCAAACGGGUUUCAAAUCAAAAAUGCCUUCAAACUCAAAGCGUCUCAAAUUAUGCUCACACAAUGAAGACAGGAUCAAUGGGUUCCCAGAUGCAAUUCUUUGCCACAUUCUUUCUUUCUUUUCAAUCAGACAGGCUGUAAAGACCAGCAUUUUAUCACAUAAAUGGAGGAAUGUCUGGGCUUGAGUUCCCAAUCUAGAUUUCAAUGAAUAUGACUAUUAC